rnacentral:rRNA from 1 species
CAGCCGCCACGGUAAUACGUAGGUGGCAAGCGUUGUCCGGAAUUAUUGGGCGUAAAGGGCUCGCAGGCGGUUUCUUAAGUCUGAUGUGAAAGCCCCCGGCUCAACCGGGGAGGGUCAUUGGAAACUGGGAAACUUGAGUGCAGAAGAGGAGAGUGGAAUUCCACGUGUAGCGGUGAGAUGCGUAGAGAUGUGGAGGAACACCAGUGGCGAAGGCGACUCUCUGGUCUGUAACUGACGCUGAGGCACGAAAGCGUGGGGAGCAAACAGGAUUAGAUACUCGGGUAGUCCCUGUCUCUUAUAC